GAUGAACGCUGGCGACGUGCUUAACACAUGCAAGUCGAACGGAGUUAUAGUUGUAGCAAUACAGGUAUAGCUUAGUGGCGGACGGGUGAGUAACACGUAGGUAACCUACCCUUAGGCGGGGGACAACUCAGGGAAACUUGAGCUAAUACCGCAUAAAUCCACGGGCUGGGAUGCUUGUGGGAAAAGUGGCAACACACCUAAGGACGGGCCUGCGGCCUAUCAGGUAGUUGGUGGGGUAAGAGCCCACCAAGCCGAAGACGGGUAGCCGGGCUGAGAGGUUGGACGGCCACACUGGAACUGAGACACGGUCCAGACUCCUACGGGAGGCAGCAGUGGGGAAUCUUGCGCAAUGGGGGAAACCCUGACGCAGCGACGCCGCGUGGAGGAUGAAGGUCUUCGGGUUGUAAACUCCUUUUCUUGGGGAAAAUGAUGAUGUACUC
rnacentral:rRNA from 1 species